rnacentral:rRNA from 1 species
UUAAGUAAGGAAGGGCGUACGGCGAAUGCCUUGCCACUCGAAACUGAAGAAGGACGCGCCAAACUGCGAAAAGCUCCGUGAAGCUGUAAGGAAGCGAAGAAGCGGAGGUGUCCGAAUGGGGGAACCCGGCAGCAGACAUGAGCUGUCAUCUGCAGGUGAAUACAUGGCCUGCAAGAGAGGUACCCGGCGAACUGAAACAUCUAAGUAGCCGGAGGAAAAGAAAACAACAGUGAUUCCCUGAGUAGCGGCGAGCGAAAGGGGAGAAGCCCAAACCGGUUGAAGGACCGGGGUUGAAGGACCAUGACAUGGCAAGAACGAGGAUAGGAGAACGGGAUCGAAAGCCCGGCCGAAGAAGGUGAAAGCCCUGUAACCGAAAUCCGAGUAAAGCCUAAUGGGAUCCUGAGUACGGCGAGACACGAGAAAUCUUGUCGGAAGCAGGCGGGACCAUCCGCCAAGGCUAAAUAUAAACGAGUGAGCGAUAGUGAACCAGUACCGUGAGGGAAAGGUGAAAAGAACCGCGGGAGCGGAGUGAAAGAGAACCUGAAACCGUAUGCCUACAAGAAGUCAGAGCCCGUUAAGGGGUGAUGGCGUGCCUUUUGUAGAAUGAACCGGCGAGUUGCGACAGACUGCGAGGUUAAGGAGGAAAGACCGGAGCCGAAGCGAAAGCGAGUCUUAAGAGGGCGAAAGUAGGAUGUUGCAGACCCGAAACCGGGUGAUCUAGCCAUGAGCAGGUUGAAGUUGAGGUGAAACUCAAUGGAGGACCGAACCGACUACCGUUGAAAAGUUAGCGGAUGACUUGUGGCUAGGGGAGAAAUUCCAAUCGAACCCGGAGAUAGCUGGUUCUCCCCGAAAUAGCUUUAGGGCUAGCGUCGGAAAGAACCUUAGUGAAGGUAGAGCACUGAAUGUGUGAUGGCCCCAUCCCGGGGUACUGAAUACAAUCAAACUGCGAAUGUCAUUAAGGAUGUCCGGCAGUCAGACUGUGAGUGAUAAGGUCCAUGGUCAAGAGGGAAACAGCCCAGACCGCCAGUUAAGGUCCCAAAAUACAGGCUAAGUGGAAAAGGAUGUGGGGAUGCCCAGACAACUAGGAGGUUGGCUCAGAAGCAGCCAUCCUUUAAAGAGUGCGUAACAGCUCACUAGUCGAGUGACCCUGCGCCGAAAAUGUACCGGGGCUAAGCCUGAUACCGAAACUGCGGAUUGUAGGAAACUAUAGUGGUAGGGGAGCGUUGUAUACGAGCAGAAGCCGUACCGUGAGGAGCGGUGGAUUGUAUAGAAGUGAGAAUGCCGGUGUGAGUAGCGAGAUGUAGGUGAGAAUCCUACACACCGAAAGCCCAAGGAUUCCAGGGGAAGGUUCGUCCGCCCUGGGUAAGUCGGGACCUAACGCGAGGCCGAAAGGCGUAGUGGAUGGAAAGCAGGCGAAAGAUUCCUGCACCCGUAUAUGGAGCGAAGGAGUGACGGAGACGGAUAGUGUGACCCUCUUAAUGGAUUGAGGGCGAAGCGAAGCGGCUGGUUACCAGGCAAAUCCGGUAACCAAAAGGCUAGAGCGUGACAGGUAAGCGAAAUCUUCGGAAAGUAGCGAAGCACAUGAUGACGGCUUCCAGGAAAAGCUUCUGGCAAUGCAUAUGCGGCCCGUACCAAAACCGACACAGGUGGGCAGGGAGAGAAUCCCGAGGUGAGCGAGAGAACUGUUGCCAAGGAACUCGGCAAAAUGACUCCGUAAGUUAGCGAGAAGGAGUGCUUAAGCAAUUAAGCCGCAGUGAAGAGGCCCAAGCGACUGUUUAACUAAAACACAGCUCUCUGCGAAGUCGCAAGACGAAGUAUAGGGGGUGACACCUGCCCGGUGCUGGAAGGUUAAGAGGAUCUGUUAAGAGCGAUCUGAAGCAGUGAUCCGAAGCCCCAGUGAACGGCGGCCGUAACUAUAACGGUCCUAAGGUAGCGAAAUUCCUUGUCAGGUAAGUUCUGACCCGCACGAAAGGUGUAACGAUUUGGGCGCUGUCUCGGCAGCAGACUCGGUGAAAUCUUAGUACCUGUGAAAAUGCAGGUUACCCGCAACUAGACGGAAAGACCCCAUGGAGCUUUACUGCAGCCUGAUAUUGAAUUCUGGUCAUACAUGUACAGGAUAGGUGGGAGACAAAGAGACGUGCACGCCAGUGUACGAGGAGUCGACGUUGGGAUACCACUCUUGUGUGACCGGGGUUCUAACCUGGUAUCGAGAACAGGUACGGGGAGAGUGUCAGGUGGGCAGUUUGACUGGGGCGGUCGCCUCCCAAAGAGUAACGGAGGCGCCCAAAGGUACGCUCAGAUUGGAUGGAAACCAAUCGUCGAGUGCAAUUGCAGAAGCGUGCUUGACUGUGAGACAGACAAGUCGAACAGGGACGAAAGUCGGGAAUAGUGAUCCGGCGGUGCCGAAUGGAAGGGCCGUCGCUCAACGGAUAAAAGCUACCCUGGGGAUAACAGGC